GUCUAGCCUGCUCAGUGACAUGAAAAUGUUAAAUAGCCGCGGUAUCCUGACCGUGCAAAGGUAGCAUAAUCAUUAGUUUUUUAAUUGGAAACUAGAAUGAAUGGUUGAACAAGGGAAGUACUGUCUUUUUUAUAAAAAUUGAAAUUAACUUCCAAGUGAAAAGGCUUGGAUUUACUAGGGGGACGAUAAGACCCUAUAAAACUUUAUAAGUUUAGGGAUUUUAACUAUUUUUUGUAUAAAGUUAUUUCUUAAUAGCUUAUUUGGUUGGGGCGACAAAGGUAUAAUUGUGAAUAACUGCCAUUAAAGUUAAUACAUUUAUUGAUGAUUGGUUACAAUAGUUGAUCCUUUUUAAAGAUUAAAAGAUCAAGUUACUUUAGGGAUAACAGCGUAAUUUCUUCUGAGAGUUCUUAUCAAAGAAGAAGUUUGCGACCUCGAUGUUGAAUUAAAAGUUCUCUGUAGUGCAGCAGCUAUAGAAGAAGGUCUGUUCGACCUUUAAAUUUUUACAUGAUUUGAGUUCAGACCGGCGAGAGCCAGGUCGGUUUCUAUCUCCUAGAAUGGGUAGGAUUAUUUUAGUACGAAAGGAUUAAAUAAUCAAAAAUUUUUUAUAAAUUGAAAU
rnacentral:rRNA from 1 species